CCCUUAGAUGUUCUGGGCCGCACGCGCGCUACACUGACGGAGGCAGCGAGCAUGUCCUUCGCCGAGAGGUGUGGGGAAUCUUGUGAGUCUCCGUCGUGCUGGGGAUAGAUGGUUGCAAUUGUCGAUCUUGAACGAGGAAUUCCCAGUAAGCGCGAGUCAUAAGCUGGCGUUGAUUACGUCCCUGCCCUUUGUACACACCGCCCGUCGCUACUACCGAUUGGACGGUUUAGCGAGGCCCUCGGAUCGGUACCAGGACUCCGUCAGGAGUGACUGGCAACCGAGAAGGCGGUCGAACUUGACCGUCUAGAGGAAGUAAAAGUCGUAACA
rnacentral:rRNA from 1 species